rnacentral:rRNA from 1 species
UACAGAGGGUGCGAGCGUUAAUCGGAAUUACUGGGCGUAAAGCGUGCGUAGACGGCUAUCUAAGUCGGGUGUGAAAGCCCCGGGCUCAACCUGGGAAUUGCAUUCGAGACUGAAUAGCUAGGGUACGGUAGAGGGAAGCGGAAUUUCCGGUGUAGCGGUGAAAUGCGUAGAUAUCGGAAGGAACAUCAGUGGCGAAAGCGGCUUCCUGGACCAGUACCGACGUCAGGCACGAAAGCGUGGGGAGCAAAGCAGGA